GGGGAAUAUUGGACAAUGGGCGAAAGCCUGAUCCAGCAAUGCCGCGUGAGUGAUGAAGGCCUUAGGGUUGUAAAGCUCUUUUACCAGGGAUGAUAAUGACAGUACCUGGAGAAUAAGCUCCGGCUAACUCCGUGCCAGCAGCCGCGGUAAUACGGAGGGAGCUAGCGUUGUUCGGAAUUACUGGGCGUAAAGCGCGCGUAGGCGGCUACUCAAGUCAGAGGUGAAAGCCCGGGGCUCAACCCCGGAACUGCCUUUGAAACUAGGUAGCUAGAAUCUUGGAGAGGUCAGUGGAAUUCCGAGUGUAGAGGUGAAAUUCGUAGAUAUUCGGAAGAACACCAGUGGCGAAGGCGACUGACUGGACAAGUAUUGACGCUGAGGUGCGAAAGCGUGGGGAGCAAAC
rnacentral:rRNA from 1 species